UUAAAGCCAUCCUUCUAAAAUUAUAGACCUAUUUCAUAUCCCUAGGACUUAGCCAUAAUUUAUUCACUCUAAUGUUCUACAGAGAAAUCAACUCACGCAAAUGAACUAUAUAUAAAAUAUACUAACUUCAUUCUUGGACAAUCCCCCUUCACAUAUACUAUCCUUAACUUUUGCUAUCUUCAAUAAUCAUAGCCAUAAACUUACACUCUCCC
rnacentral:lncRNA from 1 species